UAACACAUGCAAGUCGAGCGGAUGACGGGAGCUUGCUCCUUGAUUCAGCGGCGGACGGGUGAGUAAUGCCUAGGAAUCUGCCUGGUAGUGGGGGACAACGUUUCGAAAGGAACGCUAAUACCGCAUACGUCCUACGGGAGAAAGCAGGGGACCUUCGGGCCUUGCGCUAUCAGAUGAGCCUAGGUCGGAUUAGCUAGUUGGUGGGGUAAUGGCUCACCAAGGCGACGAUCCGUAACUGGUCUGAGAGGAUGAUCAGUCACACUGGAACUGAGACACGGUCCAGACUCCUACGGGAGGCAGCAGUGGGGAAUAUUGGACAAUGGGCGAAAGCCUGAUCCAGCCAUGCCGCGUGUGUGAAGAAGGUCUUCGGAUUGUAAAGCACUUUAAGUUGGGAGGAAGGGCAGUAAGUUAAUACCUUGCUGUUUUGACGUUACCGACAGAAUAAGCACCGGCUAACUCUGUGCCAGCAGCCGCGGUAAUACAGAGGGUGCAAGCGUUAAUCGGAAUUACUGGGCGUAAAGCGCGCGUAGGUGGUUUGUUAAGUUGGAUGUGAAAGCCCCGGGCUCAACCUGGGAACUGCAUCCAAAACUGGCAAGCUAGAGUACGGUAGAGGGUGGUGGAAUUUCCUGUGUAGCGGUGAAAUGCGUAGA
rnacentral:rRNA from 1 species